rnacentral:lncRNA from 1 species
ACACCUCUUCCCAAACACUACCUCCUCCACAAAUUCUUUCCUGAAGGAUAGUCUAUUGGGAAGCCUCAUUGAUGUGUGGGGUUUUUUUGUUUGUUUUGUUUUGUUUUGAGAUUUCCACCUGCUUGGGUUCAGGCAUCCUCUUGGCAGAAGCAGCUACAUUUAACUGAACAGAAAGAUUCAUUUGGCACCUACAAAAGGCACCAGGCCCUAUUAAAUCAGUCAGAGUGCAUGGGAUUGUCACAGUGGUUCCAUUUUGUUGUCACUUCUAUGGAAAGAUCUGCUUAAAUAAUAUUCUAUUGUUUGAAGUAAAGUCAAGCACUCCCUUCCCAUCUGUCUCCUGAAAAGCUGCACCCUCUUCCCAGUAAACAUGGAAUGCUGUCUGCCAGGGAAGCUGCCCUGAGCCUCUAUGUCCAGAGUUUUUAUUGGGGCUCAAGCAUCUACUGUCCAUAUGGACAGACCUACUGCUGUCUCCAUCUCCUCCAGGGGUCAGAACUGAAUUGUCACGUCCCAGAGCCCUCAUCAUAAGUCACAGCUACACUGUCCAGUAGCCAAAGCCCCCAGGCAAACAAGACACUUCUAUCCAGGAAGACAU